GUCAUACUCCCUCCGUUCCAAAUUACUCGUCGCUGAAAUGGAUGUAUCUAGAACUAAAAUACAUCUAGAUACAUCCAUACGUGCGACAAGUAAUUCUGAACGGAGGGAGUACAAG
rnacentral:pre_miRNA from 1 species